rnacentral:rRNA from 1 species
CGACCGGUCCGGUGGCGGUCAGGAGCCCAGAGGGGAGGUAGCAUGUGUGGCAAUUGAGCCUCGUUGCAGAACGUACAGCCCUCCGAGGUGGACUCGCCGAUGGACUGAGGAUGCCGCGGUGGCCACACGCCGCGAGCCGUCCGGGUGGCUCGCAUUUGGUCGCGCCGCUCGCCUGGUACGGGCUCACGGGCCGUGGGUCGCCUAGGGUCAGUGGCGAAUCGGUCGGCAACCCACCAGACCCGUCUUGAAACACGGACCAAGGAGUCAAACAUGUGCGCGAGUCACGGGGUCUCUCGAAACCCAAGGGCGCAAUGAAAGUGAAGGCCGCCUCCGGCUGGCCCAGGCAAGAUCCCGAGUCGUUCGCGACGAGGGCGCACUGCCGGCCCGUCUCGCUGGCAUCGACCACGAGGCGGAGCAAGAG